ensembl:lncRNA
GUCUGCCAUACCCUGUCCAAAGCCUCCUAGCUCCUGCCUGCUGGCCGCACUUGGCCUCCUGCUCCAAAUGAGCCUGUGCCCACAUGGCUGUCCUUCAAAGGACCACAACAUAGCCUCUCUGAGAAGUACCCAGCUGAGAAAUUAGCCCCGGGCCCCAACAAAGUAAAAAAGCUGGAUCCUGGGGCCUGGGAGACUAGAGGGGUCGAGGGUGGCAGGUGAAGGCUUGGGAGGUGCUGGAGUAUGGGAGCAGUGCUGCAUGGGGCUCCCGGAGGGAGGCGCCAGGGGUUUCUCGAGGGCCCUGGGCACCCCGAAGGGCCCAAGUCCCACGGAGACGGCACUCUCCACUGGGCACAGCCCUACCCGCCAUGGCGAGCAUUGAGGCGCUCCAUGUACUGGGCCGCCACGUCCACGGCCUCGGCUUCCGGAAGCUGUAGAUUGCCGGACACGUUGCAGCGCAGGUCGUUCCAGUCUGAGCGCAGCAGCUCGAAGUCCACAGCGCCCACGCUGAAUGUGCGCUGCCAGUCGAUAGCAUCUUCUCGCCAGUGCCCGGGCACGCGGCCCGCGGCAUCCUCCUCGCUGUCCUCUGAGGCCACCUCGUCGCCAGGGGCCCGGUCCUCCUCCUCCCCCUCGCCCUCGGCGAGCAGCUGCGGCCGGGACACCUGGGACAAGCUCAGGAAGGAGGUCAUGGGCUGCGCGGCAGCCGAGGAGUUCACAUCCGGUGUGGGCGCGUGGGCCUGCGGGGCCCCGAGGGUGGACGGCGCGGGGGGCUCUGUGCCUGGGGGCCCGCGGGACCUGCGCCGGGGCCGAGGUGCACGCAGCUGCGCUCGUGGCACGGCGCGGGCACGCAGGAGGACGCCGGCCAGGGGAGGCCAGGCCGGGCCACGUGGGGACACCCGCGGUCGGGGCCGCACGCGCGUCACAUACACCUUGGCAGGAGGCUUCUCAGCGGCGCGCGGGGGUGGCGCGUGGCCCAGGAAGAGGGACAGGGGGCGCAUGGCCCAGCGCAGCGCGGGAGUGGCGGGACUGAGGGCCGUGGGAAGCUGAGAGCUCUGGCUCGCGCUCCGCCAGCGGUGGUGUGGGAGGCCUGCGUCCGCUCCGCGGUGGGCCCACCUCGGUGGGCUCCAGGCUGUCCAGCAGCUCCCCCUCGUCCUCUUCGUCCAGGAAGUCUGCAGGCAGCGGAGGUGAGCGGGCGGCCAGGGCCAGCGGGGCUGCGGGGCGGGGUGGGCGUGGGGAGGCUCACCCUCGGGGCUGAGGAACAAGAAGGCCCGGCGCUGCUGCUCCUCCUCCCCGUCCUCCCCUUCCUGCUUGUCCAUCUUCAUGUAUUUGUAGAAACCGAACCUGGAGCAGCAGAGCGUCAGAGCCGCCGUCCUGGUGAGGCCUCACCCCGUGCCCUCCGGCCCACCUACCUUUCCAGGUACCGGGGAGAUUCUCGGUAGAAGCACUUGUUCUCCGUCUCCAUGUGCGUGAGGCGGGUGUAGUCAUUGGGAUACACGAAGGACAGGUAUACCUGGGGGAGAGGCGAGGCGAGGGCUCAGGGCCUCCGGGGAACGAGGGGGUGCCUGGAGCACAGUGGGGCUCUGGUCUGGGCACGUACAAACUGCAGCCCCUGGUAUCUGGCGAUGGGGAAGUCCUUGAGAACGUAGGUAGGUGCGUAGGCACAGGGCUCCAGCACGCUCUCCAGGCUCCAGGGCUCUAUCCGGGGUGCUGUGGGCGGGGUCCUUGUCAAGGGCUGGGCCGGCCCCUCCACUCCCUGGGGGCCGGCUCACUGAGGAAGAAGCUGUCCCUGGGGUCUGGGCGCAGCAUGUCUGCGCUGGACUCCUCCUUGGGCAGGUGGCCCCUGACAUGGCUGGCUGGAGACUGGGGCACGUGGGCCACAUGGUCCAUCUUCAGGGAGGACUCAUCUGUGGGCCCAAGGUUGAUCCAGGUCCUCCUUCCCGCCCAGCUGGGCCACCCCCAGAGCCGCUGCCUCCCCAGGUGCCCAGAGUACCUGUGUAAAGG